rnacentral:rRNA from 1 species
GAGGAAUAUUGGUCAAUGGGCGCGAGCCUGAACCAGCCAAGUAGCGUGCAGGAUGACGGCCCUAUGGGUUGUAAACUGCUUUUGUAUGGGGAUAAAGUCAAUCACGUGUGAUUGUUUGCAGGUACCAUACGAAUAAGGACCGGCUAAUUCCGUGCCAGCAGCCGCGGUAAUACGGAAGGUCCGGGCGUUAUCCGGAUUUAUUGGGUUUAAAGGGAGCGUAGGCCGGAGAUUAAGUGUGUUGUGAAAUGUAGACGCUCAACGUCUGACUUGCAGCGCAUACUGGUUUUCUUGAGUACGCACAACGUUGGCGGAAUUCGUCGUGUGGCGGUGAAAUGCUUAGAUAUGACGAAGAACUCCGAUUGCGAAGGCAGCUGACGGGAGCGCAACUGACGCUUAAGCUCGAAGGUGCGGGUAUCGAACAGGAUUAGAUACCCUGGUAGUCCGCACAGUAAACGAUGGAUGCCCGCUGUUGGUACCUGGUAUCAGCGGCUAAGCGAAAGCAUUAAGCAUCCCACCUGGGGAGUACGCCGGCAACGGUG